AUGAAUGCCCGUCAGUCCACCCUUUUUCGUAGCUGCGCAGUCGGUCGGCGCGAGUUUCGUUGGCCCGUGACGCGCAGUGCUACGCAGCAAGAAGCCGAGCCGCUUGUCCCUGUUCGGGGGCAGCGGCUUUUUUC
rnacentral:ncRNA from 2 species